GGGUGGUAAUGCCGGAUGCUCCAGUUGAUCGCAUGGUCUUCUGGGAAAGCUUUCGCGGUAUGGGAUGGGGUCGCGUCCUAUCAGCUUGACGGCGGGGUAACGGCCCACCGUGGCUUCGACGGGUAGCCGGCCUGAGAGGGCGACCGGCCACAUUGGGACUGAGAUACGGCCCAGACUCCUACGGGAGGCAGCAGUGGGGAAUAUUGCACAAUGGGCGCAAGCCUGAUGCAGCGACGCCGCGUGAGGGAUGGAGGCCUUCGGGUUGUAAACCUCUUUUAUCGGGGAGCAAGCGAGAGUGAGUUUACCCGUUGAAUAAGCACCGGCUAACUACGUGCCAGCAGCCGCGGUAAU
rnacentral:rRNA from 2 species